AAGAAGAAACUGCAAAAUCGGAGCAAAAUGUAUCUAAAGAUAUGAUUUUGGAGAAGAAUACUUCAGAGACGAGUAAUUUGUUGAAAA